rnacentral:rRNA from 1 species
UACGUAGGGUGCAAGCGUUGUCCGGAAUUAUUGGGCGUAAGAGCUCGUAGGCGGUCUGUCGCGUCUGCUGUGAAAACUCAGGGCUUAACCCUGAGCUUGCAGUGGGUACGGGCAGACUAGAGUGCGGUAGGGGAGACUGGAAUUCCUGGUGUAGCGGUGAAAUGCGCAGAUAUCAGGAGGAACACCGGUGGCGAAGGCGGGUCUCUGGGCCGUAACUGACGCUGGAGGAAGCGGAAAGCAUGGGGAGCGAACAGG